rnacentral:rRNA from 1 species
UACGUAGGGGGCAAGCGUUGUCCGGAAUCAUUGGGCGUAAAGAGCGUGUAGGCGGCCAGAUAAGUCCGCUGUGAAAUCUCGAGGCUCAACUUCGAGCUGUCGGUGGAAACUGUCUGGCUAGAGUCCGGAAGAGGAGAAUGGAAUUCCUGGUGUAGCGGUGAAAUGCGCAGAUAUCAGGAGGAACACCGGUGGCGAAGGCGGGUCUCUGGGCCGACAUUGACGCUGAGGAGCGAAAGCGUGGGGAGCGAACAGG